UACGGAGGAUGCAAGCGUUAUCCGGAUUUAUUGGGUUUAAAGGGUGCGUAGGCGGAAAUUUAAGUCAGUGAUGAAAUCCUGCGGCUCAACCGUAGAACUGUUAUUGAUACUGAAUUUCUUGAAUACAGUUGAGGUUGGCGGAAUGUGUAAUGUAGCGGUGAAAUGCUUAGAUAUUACACAGAACACCGAUUGCGAAGGCAGCUAACUAAACUGAUAUUGACGCUGAGGCACGAAAGCGUGGGGAGCGAACAGG
rnacentral:rRNA from 1 species